CUCUGAAAAAACGAGGCGAAAGGGAAUCUGUUGUAAAUAUUUGUAGAAAUAUUUUGUAAAGCUUAAAGCAAAUACGAUAGAUUUGUAUACAUUCAAAGAUGAAGAAGAUGAUCGCUUUGAAAUAUACAAAGUAGGUACGAUGCUUAUACGUACAGGUCGCUAUCUAUUCGAAACGAAUCGAUUUUUCAUUGUUUAUGCAUUUCAUUAAUCAUCAAUUACGAUUACAAAUUAAGUUAUCGUGCCGAUAAGCAAAGCAAACGAGAAUGUAAGCGGAUAAUUUUACAAAGAAGCAGUCUGGAAUGUUGCUUUUGACGUUAAUCUACAUAUUUUGCGUUCUUCGUUCUAAUUAGAAAAAAGAAAAAAGAAAAAAGAAAAAAGAAAAAAGAAAAAAAAUGCAGCUACAAGCAAGUCUUUGAACGUGUUAAAGUGUUAUUAAUUUCUUGAUCGUCACCUUGAAGCUUCAAGUACAAAGAAGUGGCAAGAAAGUCGAAUUGGAAAUUAAUUUUUACGACUGAAAGCAAAAUAACCGUAAGCAUUGACAUGAAACUUUAAGCAAGACUAUUGCCACGGACUUCUACUUAAUCAACAUACAGGUAAUACGUAAUACAAUAAAGUAAGUAAUACAAUAAAAGUACGAAAAUGUAAGGAGGAGCAGAGUUAUAAGACUUUUUUCUAAAUCAUUUUUGUUAUUUAGGAGCCAGGUGUUUUGCUGAUUAUGCAUGCAUACAACGUUAGUAUAACUACGGGACUUGCAAUUACCAGGACCACGUUAGUUUGGGAGAGCAAGGUGAGACGAGUGAUGAGGGCGAUGGCGGUGGUGGUUUUGGUGGUUGUAGUGGUGAUGGUAGUGGUAGUAGUUGUGGUAGUUGUUGGUAGUGAUUAGGGCAGCGCACAACGAGCAAUUAUUGCUCGGCUAGAUUUGCGUUCGGAUCCGUAUACUCCUCGUAGUCCUCUUCUGGUU